CAGUAGCCGCGGUAAUACGUAGGUGGCAAGCGUUGUCCGGAAUUAUUGGGCGUAAAGGGCUCGCAGGCGGUUACUUAAGUCUGAUGUGAAGGCCCCCGGCUCAACCGGGGAGGGUCAUUGGAAACUGGGAAACUUGAGUGCAGAGGAGGAGAGUGGAAUUCCACGUGUAGCGGUGAAAUGCGUAGAGGUGUGGAGGGACACCAGUGGCGAAGGCGACUCUCUGGUCUGUAACUGACGCUGAGGAGCGAAAGCGUGGGGAGCGAACAGGAUUAGAUACCCGUGUAGUCCCUGUCUCUUAUAC
rnacentral:rRNA from 1 species